rnacentral:lncRNA from 1 species
CUCGAAGCAAGAGAAAGGGUGGGCAUCACAGAAAGAACCAGAAAUGCCACGAAGGCACACAACUCUGAAACUUUGACUUGGCCUGGCUCCCAGUGGCAUCAAAUUCCAACCCCGUUUCCCAGGAGAGGCCACUGUGUGUUUCCUGGACUUCCAUCACUUUAACAAGCCGCCUGUGCUGUUCCAGAGCUUUCAAAAGGAAAGUACGGGGGUCACGGUGUGAGCUCGAGGAUCCGACUUCCUACACGACAAUCCCAGUUCCACUUCUUCUUAUUUGAAUUUUCCCUUCUGUAAAUUCAGGUGCGUCAUGGCUGCCUUAUGGAGACAGCGCAGCACCCUCCCCCUUGGCCACCCAACUUCCCGAGCAGCCACCGAAGGUGCCACGUGAUGCGACCUGCAGGGGAGAGGAGUCAGAGCCCUAGGGAGCAAGGGUGGGAGGGCGGCGGGCAGACCCUGAGACGCCUUCCACCUUGCCUAGAAGACCUGCCGUGUCCCGUGCCAGCUCGCACGAGGCAGGCCCAGGGUGGGAGCACAUCCGCUGAGUUUCCUUUCCUUCCCCCUCUGCCUCCCUGGGUUUGUUCCUUCCAAACGAGCUUCAGAUUGUAAAAUUCCUGCCUGCUUCAGUCUCUACUUUCUAGCGAGCCCAGUCCAGGACAACUCUUCUUAGUCCAUUAUUACUACUUGAACUGGCUUGAUUAGGUCUCUGUUAUUUGGGACCACGGGAUCCGGAAUAAACCAUGAGGCCUAGCGCAUUCUGUGAUUCCAAGCUAGACGCUGAGAUACAGCAAAACAUUUGCCAGAUAUUUUCAAGACUCCAUGAUCUAGACACCAUUUACAUCUGAAUUAAUCUCCAACAUCUGGACCCUCUACCCUUGCACCAUGGCUGGCCCAUACUGCUCUGUCUUAUUUGGACUUGUCACAUAACCACGACUCAGAUGAUGUAGUUCGAUUGCUAACAUCUUAGACUCUGGAGUCAAGCUAUGUGGGUUCAGAUCCUAGCUAGGCCCCUUAUUAGCUGCAUGACAUCGGGCAAAUUGCUUAACCUUUCUGUGACUUUGUCUCCUCCCCUGUGAAAUACAAUACUACCUACUUCAAAGGUUGGGAAUCAAAAAAAAUAAAACCAAAGACUCUGUCAAGAGGGUCAUCAAACUAAAAGAAAACAUCUUUACCUAAGAUUUACACUUAUAUGCAAUACCCACCCUC